rnacentral:lncRNA from 1 species
UUAACCUUUCUCCAUUCCCCACUGAGUUUGUCUCCUCGUGGAUGAUUGUUAUUUCAGUUUCCUCUCCAGCAAAUUUUCUGGAUGGAAUUACUCCCCUUGAGUUAUGUCCUCAUUGGGUUGAGUCUUGAUUGACCAUUUUCUUUCUAGCUCUUACCUAUAUAGAUAUUUUGGUCCCCUAAGAGUCUAUUACCCAGUAACAAGUAAUAUUCUUCUUAGUUUGCAGUUUGUUACUUCUUGCCCAAUACCCGGAGAAAGUAGCCUUUUUUCUCCUCAGUAGAAUCCCCAAUGGAUCUAUUCCCCGCAGGAGUCUAUCUUUGAUAUGUUCACUUUAACCAGUGACGGAUAUUCUCACUUUUG